UACGGAGGAUCCGAGCGUUAUCCGGAUUUAUUGGGUUUAAAGGGUGCGUAGGCGGCCUAUUAAGUCAGGGGUGAAAUACGGUGGCUCAACCAUCGCAGUGCCUUUGAUACUGAUGGGCUUGAAUCCAUUUGAAGUGGGCGGAAUAAGACAAGUAGCGGUGAAAUGCAUAGAUAUGUCUUAGAACUCCGAUUGCGAAGGCAGCUCGCUAAGCUGGUAUUGACGCUGAUGCACGAAAGCGUGGGGAGCAAACAGG
rnacentral:rRNA from 1 species